GGUAACUUGGUUGAGUUUUCUUCUCUGCCGUGUGGGCUUUGUUCUUUUGCUCUUUGCAGUAAAGGGUGCUGCUGCUGCUGACUGUUGGGUCCGAGCCGUCUUUAAGAGCUAUUACACUCACGGUGAAGGUCUGUGGUUUCACUCCUGAAGUCAAGUGAGUCUACGAACCCACCGGAAGGAAGAAACUCCAGACUCCGAAGGAACAAACUCUGAACACACCAAAUGUAAGGAUUGUAACACUCACCGUGAGGGUCUGUGGCUUCCACCCUCGCAGCUUCUUUCUUGAAGUUGCCGAGACCAAGAGCCCACCGGAAGGAACCAAUUCUGGACACAUCAGCUUUGUUAAUUUCCCUUGGAGAAGUAUUGAUGAUCAAGUGAUGCUAGCAGCAACAGUGUUAAAAGGCUUUAACGCUUUUAAAGGUGAGACUUUUGGGAGUUGAUUAGGUCAUGAGGAUGGAGCCUGGUGAAUGGGAUCAGUGAAAGAGGCCUGAUGUGAGUGCCAUCCACGGAAAAGGCCUAUAAACAGUGACCAACCCAUUAAUAGUGAGCACCCAGAUUAAGAGUUCUAAAUACCAUUUCCCACAUAGAAACCUCAGAGAAAUGGCUAAUUUCAGGACUGAGGCAGGAAAAAUACAAGGCCCUGAUUAGGUUAUUGACACUGGCCACAUCAGUGUCACAGAGUUUCUUCACAGCCUGUUUGAUCUGGCACUUGUUGGCUUUGGCAUCCACAGUGAACACAGGCAUGUGGUUGUCUUCUGUCUUCAUGGUGGACUCGGCAGUUGGGAGCCUGACGAUGGAUGGCAUGAUGGUCAAGCUUGUUUCCCCUGGGGGUGCUCUUCUGAAGACAUUUGAGCUGCCUCUGGAACCACAGGGUCUUGGGUCCCAGAAGGAAACUCCAAGGAACAGAGGAGCUCAGAGAAGACUAGAACUCUGUAUUCCGUACCUGUAAACAAUUUGUAUAAGCAAAAUAAAACUUUCUAACUUUC